AAUUGGGGUUGGGGUGGGAGAGGAUUCAGAGCAGGUGCCCCUGAGGAAAUGGUGCUGACUUAGGAUGAGAGCAAACAUUGAGCAAGUAAGGAAGGGCAAACGGUAUUCCAGGCAGAGAGAACAGGCUGUGCGAAGACCCUGAGGUGGGAGGGUGGAUGAACAAAGAGACUAGGCACUGACACCCUCCGUGUGAUGGGAGCAGAGGGAGGCCGGGGCUGGAGAUGGGGGUGGGGGGAGGCGGUGCACAGAGCAUGCAGGGCCUCCCAGGCCGUCUUGAAGGGUCAGGUCUUUAUCCCUAGGAUGAUGAAAGCAGGGGAAGGGGGUGGGGGGCAAGUAUUGGGGCCCGGAGACACUUCCGCUCAGCCAGAUCGUGGAAUAAGCUCGGCAUUCUUAAAGGGAUGACUCACCUCAUGAGCUUUGGAGAAUGAGUAAGAAGCCGACAAUUAGGGGAGGAGGGGGAGUGAGAUGCAAAUUCCCUGGGUAGGGCCCAACUGCAACAAAUACAUUGACAACCUUCAAAUUCUUUUGGUCCCAACUCUAGCGGUGUUCAUGGGAAAAUGGCAGGCCGGCUGUGUCCAGGACAGAGAGGGGGUGGCAAACAGCGCAGCCGUAAGCUGGGAAAUGGAUAGUUCAGACACGGAUUGCAGGUGGCUCGCCCUAGCAGCGCGGCGAGAGGAUGAGGAGGAGGUAGGAGUGCAGACAAGGAGAUCUUCGAGCGGAAUGUUAAUCGCCCAAACCAGGCUGGAAUUGGGAUGGAGCAUGCAGCGUGCCUGGGGACGUAUUUAGGAGGGAAGGCGAGGAGGCUAGAUCUAGGGCGACGGGGCGGGCGGCAGCGCCAUCUCGGAGAUGGACUGUAAUAGGGGCCAGACGCGGGAAGUCAGAGGUGCGUGCGGGGCAAGCCAAGUGGAACUGUCCGGACGCAAUGGGAUGGGCGUGCCAGGGGCUGCGGAGGGGGGAGAGCUGGGUGUGGGAGGCGCCUCCUGUGCGUGGUUAUUAACCACUCACAGCAGCAAAUGAGCUAGUCCGGGAGGGCGGGGAGGGGAAGGAGAAAGAAGCUGAGCAGGUCGCCGGAGGAGCAUCCGUGAUGGCAUUGGGGCAGGUCUGGCGGAGAGAAGAACCGGAGGGGAAAGAGCACGCAGACGCUGAGUGGCCCCGCGUCCCGCUGCAGGGGCGCCGGGGAAGGUGUGGCAUCGCGGGCUUCUCCGCCAGACUGCAGGCGGAGCCCGAGCGCGCUCGGUUCAAGCAGGCAUUGCAGAGCCAAGCCUCGACCGCGGCCUCCUCGCGCUGCUCCUGCUGCCCUGGCUGCAGCCGCCGGGGACGGCAGGGCCACCCCGGCCAUCCCCCCACCCCAGACUCCCCGCCACCCCAGGCCGCGCCUCCCGGCCUCCCGCGGACCCGGCGACGUCACUGCGGCUCUGACGCCGCUCAUGGGGGCACAGGCGGGGCGGCUCGGGGCGCGGUGUCCUCUCGGGAGGUCCUGGUCCUUGCAGCUCGCGACCCCGUCCUUGGCCCUCCUCCAAGGGAACCUCGAUUUUCCAAACUCGGGAGGGCGGCUGUCCUUCGGCAACUGAUAAGGACUGAGCUCCCAGGGAAAGAUUGUAGCAAAGCCCGGGAAGAAAGAGCAGGACCCAAGAAAGAGACACUUAAUAGGCGCCACCUAAGAGUUUUCUGCAGGCUCAGCGGACUGUAAGACCAGUAAGAACGACAACCACCACAAUAGCCACCUUUUAUUGAGCGCUUCCUGGGUGCCAGGUGCGGUGGUAAGCGCUUUGCAGGCACCAGCCCUGGAAGGAGGAGGAGGUGGUUAAGGAAGGAGCAAAUAGAUGAAAAAAAUCUAUUUUUGAUGCAGCUGCAAUGUGUUGAGCGCUCGUUUUGUGCUGUCCUUCCUGUGCCUUGAGACCUUAAUCCUCACUGCAGGCAUGAGAGGUGUGUGUGCAUCAUUAUUCUCACUUGACCAAUAAGGUCACACGACUGGUAAAUGGCGAUGCGGGGAACCCACUAGCGGUGGUCUGACAUUCCAACCGUGUCCCCAUCACCCAGAAAGCACAAGCUGAUACAACCAAACAGAAGAGGACACCAUGGGGCCUGGAACUAUGGCAGUCCUCUUACCAACAGCCUAAGAAUGGGGCUACACAUAAGUAGGGCAGAGCUGAGAGAAUCUCGGGGAAAUAGAGUCAGUUUCUGGACUAAACUCUAAAGCCCACAGUCUUAGUCUGCUUGGGCUGCCACAGACCAGGUUGCCUAAACAACAGAAAUUUAUUUUCUCACCGUCCUAAGGGCCAGAAGUCCAAGAUCAAGGUGCCAUCAGGAUUGGUUUUGAGGAGGCCUCUCUUCCUGGUUUGUAGACAGCCACCUUCUCACUGUGACAUCACAUGGCCUCUUCUCCAUGUGUGUAAGCUCUGGUGUCUCUUCCUCUUCUUUAAAGAUACUAGCCCAGGUGAAUUAAAAAGCUCCACCUUUAUGACCUCACUUAACCUUAAUUACCUCCUUAAGUACCCUAUCUCCAAAUACAGCCAUAUGGAAAGUUGAGGCUUCAAUUUAUAAAUUUGGGAGGGGGGCAUGCACAAUUCAGUCCAUAACACUCACCCUACCUCUGGGUUUAUGUGUAUGUGAUCAAAUAAAUAUACUUCUGUUGAAGCUAGCUUGAGUUGGUUUUCCGUCACAACUUACCCUACAGUGUUUCACUCCUCUGUAUCCCUGCUGGGCCUGGUCCAGAAAGGGUCAAUAAAUAUUUGUGAAAUGAAUGCCAGUAGC